rnacentral:rRNA from 1 species
AGAGUUUGAUCCAGGCUCAGAACGUACGCUGGCCCUUUCCUAACACAUGCAAGUCGAACGAAGUAGCAAUACUUAGUGGCAGACGGGUGAGUAACAUGUAGGUAUCUGCCCUUUGGCCUGGAAUAACACGAGGAAACUUGUGCUAAUACCGGAUAAGUCUUUACGGAGAAAGCUUUAUGCACCAUUGGAUGAGCCUGCACUUGAUUAGUUUGUUGGUGGGGUAAUGGCCUACCAAGACUGUGAUCAAUAGCUGAUUUGAGAGGAUGAUCAGCCACAUUGGGACUGAGACACGGCCCAAACUCCUACGGGAGGCAGCAGUGGGGAAUCUUGCACAAUGGAGGAAACUCUGAUGCAGCGAUGCCGCGUGAGUGAAGAAGGCCUUUGGGUUGUAAAGAUCUUUCGUCGGGGAAGAAAAUGACUGUACCCGAAUAAGAAGGUCCGGCUAACUUCGUGCCAGCAGCCGCGGUAAUACGAAGGGACCUAGCGUAGUUCGGAAUUACUGGGCUUAAAGAGUUCGUAGGUGGUUGAAAAAGUUGGUGGUGAAAUCCCAGAGCUUAACUCUGGAACUGCCAUCAAAACUUUUCAGCUAGAGUAUGAUAGAGGAAAGCAGAAUUUCUAGUGUAGAGGUGAAAUUCGUAGAUAUUAGAAAGAAUACCAAUUGCGAAGGCAGCUUUCUGGAUCAUUACUGACACUGAGGAACGAAAGCAUGGGUAGCGAAGAGGAUUAGAUACCCUCGUAGUCCAUGCCGUAAACGAUGUGUGUUAGACGUUGGAAAUUUAUUUUCAGUGUCGCAGCGAAAGCGAUAAACACACCGCCUGGGGAGUACGACCGCAAGGUUAAAACUCAAAUGAAUUGACGGGGACCCGCACAAGUAGUGGAGCAUGUGGUUUAAUUCGAAGAUACGCGCAGAACCUUACCAACACUUGACAUGUUCGUCGCGACUCUAAGAGAUUAGAGUUUUCGGUUCGGCCGGACGAAACACAGGUGCUGCAUGGCUGUCGUCAGCUCGUGUCGUGAGAUGUUGGGUUAAGUCCCGCAACGAGCGCAACCCUCACUUUUAGUUGCCAUCAUUAAGUUGGGCACUCUGAAAGAACUGCCAGUGAUAAGCUGGAGGAAGGUGGGGAUGACGUCAAGUCCUCAUGGCCCUUACGUGUUGGGCUACACACGUGCUACAACGGUAUCUACAACAGGAAGCAAGACUGCGAGGUCAAGCAAAUCCCUAAAAGAUACCUCAGUUCGGAUUGCACUCUGCAACUCGAGUGCAUGAAGCUGGAAUUACUAGUAAUCGUGGAUCAGCGUGCCACGGUGAAUGCGUUCCCGGGUCUUGUACACACCGCCCGUCACACCAUGGGAGUUGGUUCUACCUUAAGGCAAGGUUUAAAACCCUUGACCACGGUAUAGUCAGCGACUGGGGUGAAGUCGUAACAAGGUAACC